rnacentral:rRNA from 1 species
AAUUGGGUUAGUAUUUUUUACCUUGUUCUAAAAAGUUUUAUUGUAGCUUGGGAAUUUCCUGUUUAGUCGGUGUAUAUAUAACUUUUAGGGGGUUUUCUGAAGGGUUAAUGUUUGUAGUAUGCAGUUUUAAGUAUUAAUUUGGUUUAGACUUGGGGAUUUAAUUUAGUAUAAACAUAAUUUGUGCCAGCAGUAGCGGUUAUACAGAUUAUGCAAGGGAAUUGUUAUAGGGUUAAUAAGGUGUGAUUAUGAGGGCUUGUAUUUGGAUUUUUUAGGUGAAAUUUUAUGUUCAAUUUAAGCUUGGUUUUUGUUUCUGAAAUUGGGAAAUUUUUGUUUAGACUAGGAUUAGAUACCCUAUUAUUUUAUAUGUUAGUUUUUUGUCCUUAGUUAUUAAUAGUUAUGUUCUUUAAAGUUAAAGAAUUUGGCGGUAUUUUAGUCUGUUCAGAGGAACCUGCCUUUUAAUCGAUAGUCCACGAUGAAUUUGACUUUGGUUUAUAAAUUUAUAUAUCGUUGUUUAUAAAAAUUUUAAGAGGACUGUAAUUUUUGUUAUUUGUAAUUUCGUUGUAUUUCAGAUCAAGGUGUAGUUUAUAUUUAAGUUAAGGUGGGUUACAUUAUUUUUAUAUGUGGUUUCUGGCUUUAUAAUCUAGGAUAAACUGGAUUUGAAAGUAAAUUUUUUAUUUAUGUUUUUUGAUUUAGCUCUAAAAUAUGCACAUAUCGCCCGUCGCUUUCAUUUUAACGUGAAAUAAGUCGUAACAAAGUAGGUCUAUUGGAAGAUGGGCCUGGAAUGA